rnacentral:tRNA from 1 species
AGAAACUUAGGUUAAAUUAAACCAGAGGCCUUCAAAGCCCCAAACAAGAGUUAGACCCCCUUAGUUUCUG